UACGUAGGGUGCAAGCGUUGUCCGGAAUUAUUGGGCGUAAAGAGCUCGUAGGCGGUUUGUCGCGUCUGCUGUGAAAACUCGGGGCUUAACCCCGGGCCUGCAGUGGGUACGGGCAGACUAGAGUGCGGUAGGGGAGACUGGAAUUCCUGGUGUAGCGGUGAAAUGCGCAGAUAUCAGGAGGAACACCGAUGGCGAAGGCAGGUCUCUGGGCCACUACUGACGCUGAGAAGCGAAAGCAUGGGGGAGCGAACAGG
rnacentral:rRNA from 1 species